GACGAACGCUGGCGGCGUGCUUAACACAUGCAAGUCGAACGGAAAGGCCCUGCUUUUGUGGGGUGCUCGAGUGGCGAACGGGUGAGUAACACGUGAGUAACCUGCCCUUGACUUUGGGAUAACUUCAGGAAACUGGGGCUAAUACCGGAUCGGAGCUCCUGCUGCAUGGUGGGUUUGGAACGUUUCGGCGGUUGGGGAUGGACUCGCGGCUUAUCAGCUUGUUGGUGGGGUAGUGGCUUACCAAGGCUUUGACGGGUAGCCGGCCUGAGAGGGUGACCGGCCACAGUGGGACUGAGAUACGGCCCAGACUCCUACGGGAGGCAGCAGUGGGGAAUAUUGCACAAUGGGCGGAAGCCUGAUGCAGCAACGCCGCGUGCGGGAUGACGGCCUUCGGGUUGUAAACCGCUUUCGCCUGUGACGAAGCGUGAGUGACGGUAAUGGGUAAAGAAGCACCGGCUAACUACGUG
rnacentral:rRNA from 1 species